UGAGGAAUCUUGCGCAAUGCGCGAAAGCGUGACGCAGCAACGCCGCGUGGGGGAAGACGGCCUUCGGGUUGUAAACCCCUUUCAGUUGGGACGAAGCUCCGCCGGUGAAUAGCCGGUUGGAGUGACGGUACCUUCAGAAGAAGCCCCGGCUAACUACGUGCCAGCAGCCGCGGUAAUACGUAGGGGGCAAGCGUUGUCCGGAAUCAUUGGGCGUAAAGAGCGUGUAGGCGGCUCGGUAAGUCCGCUGUGAAAGUCCAGGGCUCAACCCUGGAAUGCCGGUGGAUACUGUCGGGCUAGAGUCCGGAAGAGGCGAGUGGAACUCCUGGUGUAGCGGUGAAAUGCGCAGAUAUCAGGAAGAACACCAACGGCGAAGGCAGCUCGCUGGGACGGUACUGACGCUGAGACGCGAAAGCGUGGGGAGCAAACAGGAUUAGAUACCCCCGUAGUCC
rnacentral:rRNA from 1 species